CCUGAGCUCUGAAUGGAGGGAUUUGGUGGAGACCUCCAAUUUAGACUCUCCCUCUGCAUAAUGCAUAAUGUGGUUGUUUGCAUCUCAUUUGCUGCCAGAAGAAGUCUCUCUAAUAAUGAGUGGAUAAGGCACUGAUCUGUAUACCUUAGAGUCACACCUGCCAGUAGUACUACCACGAGAUCUAUGUCUGACCUUCAAGUCGUUGGAGAACUUCAGAGACAAUGAGGAUCGGGCCUUCUGUUCCUAAAGAGAGCCCAGAAACAGAGACUGUUGAUUCACCGUGCAGGACCACACGUCUGACACGUCAAUGUCUGAAUGGCCUGUGACAGUGUGGUUGUCUUGGCAAUAGCACUGGCCACCCACGUAAACAUCUGGAGGGCAAGCUGAGACUCACCCAAAUGAGGAGGUUUUGACUGAGAUUGCCAGCAGGUCAGCCCGAGUGCAAUAGAGGGAGUGCACGUAGGCACGCUUCUGCUUCGUGGACUCGGGGACGUGGUUUUCAGGUGUGCACAUGCUUGGUGCGUGACCUGUGCUGACGGACACCUGCACCAACACUCCUGGGAAUCUGUGCUGACAGACACCUACACCGACACUCCUGGGAAUGUCCUUUGUUAUUUCUGCAAGUUUUCGAGAGAAUAGCAUUACAAUUCAUAUUUCUACAUAAAUACGUUUUUCAUGGCUUCUCUGAAGAUGUUCUCUUUGCCAUUGGAUUUCCACAACAAAUGUGAUUCAUCUGCUCAUGGAUAUUUUGAUAUUCAUCUUGCUUUGUUUCUGAUUUGCUACAUGUAAAUGGUUUGUUUGGCACACAACUUUUGAAGAGCAAUUGCACAGAAGGAAAAGAGUAAAUGAUCAAUAAAUGGUGUCACCAGACACCAGGAAAACACAUCAACGCUGCUAUGAAGUAUUAUUGUGCAUCCCAAAGAAUGCCUUGGUUUUCAAGUCUGGCAGACCCUGUUUACUAUAUAGAGAAGGAUCCAUCUGGUACUUUGCAGAUGUGGAAAA